AGAAGUCUACAAAUAGUCCUGCAGGAAUCUCCCCUCUUUCCAGAGAAAGUGUUAUACAUUGGAGAAAUUCAAAAAUGACUGUGUCUGUGCUUUUGUUUUCAGUGAAACCAUGUUGUUUAGUAGUGAGAACAUUGAACUUCCUGAAGAAUUUCAGAAUCCUAUUUGACAGAAUUUUCUCAAAAAUUUUAGCGAAUGAGGAAGGCAUGACAAUUGAUUUCUUCAGAGCGUCAGGAAAUAUGCCGGACCGGAAAGCAGAAUUGAUCAGAAAACAAACUGGCUUCACUAUAUGUAUGAAAUGGCGCUUGAUCAAUGUCAUCGGAACACCAUCAUAUCCAAAAGAGCGUUUAUUAUUCAUCAUUUUGACAACAGAAAAAAUCUCACUCUCUGGGACUUCGAACAAACAAAAUGAGUUCAAUACUGUAGAUUGUUUAUUACAGUCAGUGGUAGGGCAGGCGUUAAAUCCAUGAUUUGGGUUUGAUAUAUUAAUAAAGAAGUCAUUAAAUCUGUUUGCUAAAAGAAA